UGCUGCAGGUGUGGCCCUAAAAAGCAAAAAAAUAAAAAAAUUGUUUGCUGAAUCAUCAGUCCAACAUAGUCUAUUCUGCAUGUAUUGUGUUCCAGACCCUGUAAAGUAAGCACUGGGAUACAAGAGCAAAUAAGAUGGGACUCCUGGAGGUGUAUGGCACACGCACCUGCAAUUAAGAACUUAUCAAGUCAUAUGAAUUCUCCCUGCUGCCUAGAGACUUUGAUUUGCAGACUUCAUGGAGGAGUGACACUGGAGCUAGAUUGGCGAGGGCAGCUGUCAAUUGCAUUUUUGGACCCAGUGAAGCUGCAGGCAAAGCAGCUUUUAGAGGAGCCGUGUGAGCAAGGAGAUCUGGAGUAACGUGUCCCCCGCCUGCCUGCCCGCCUGCCCUCCUGCCAGCCCCAGAGCUGCUGAGUCAGGCUCAGACCCAAAGGGUUCUGUUUUGUCCUAGGGAGCAGGAGCCUGCUGGGGAAGGGCAAGCCUGAACAGGCCCUGGGGGCUGGGACUUUGUGCCCAGCUGUUUCCUGGGAGCUGAUCACUGCCCUGCCAGGCCCCUCCCAUCCCAUUCCUCCCCUCCCUGCAGGGAGCCUUAGCCUGGGUUCCUGAUGUGAGGGCCAGCUGGGAUUUAGAGUGGGCAGGUUUUUUCCUUGGGGGUUUGAUUUACGUGCAGCUCCCUCCCCCCAAGUGAAGAAUUCCUGCCUCAGGUGGCAGAUUUAGAGGCUGAGCUGCCCUAGGGUGAAAUCCUACCUCUUUGACUUUAUAACCUUGGGCGUGCAGUCUGACCUCUUUAAGCCUAGUUUCUUCAUCUGUAAAAUGGGAAUAACAAUAUCAACUUCCCAGGGUUGCCACCAGAAUUAAGUAAGGAAAAUCGUGCUUUCUUACUUGGUACAAUAAAAACCUUUGAAUGUG